rnacentral:rRNA from 1 species
AUGGGCAUUUCUGUUCCUCAAUACAUAGCUCUGUGUGGAGUUACACUUGUAAUUGGAUGGCUUGUGCAGUGGGUAUACAAAUGGAUUAACCCGGUUUGCAACGGGGUUCUUCCUCCUGGCUCCAUGGGAUUCCCUGUUAUUGGUGAGACCUUGGACUUCUUCAAGGCAAGCCCUUCCCUGGACAUCCCUGACUUCUACAAACUAAGGAUGAAAAGGUACGGCCCGAUUUUCAAGACAAGCUUGCUGGGGCAGCGUGUGGUUAUUUCCACCGAUGCGGAGAUGAAUCGGUUUAUCCUUCAGCAGGACACAUUGUUCCGUAUUUGGUUCCCUCGGGCACUGGCUAAAAUAUUCGGGGAGGAGAGCCUGGAAGCCUACCAUGGCAAAACCCACAAGUUCAUCCGAAGAUGCGCCCACACGCUGUUGGGUGUCCAGACUCUCAAAGAUGUGCUCCUCCCUGAGAUGGAGGCCGCUGUGAGGGAGCGCCUUGCCGCAUGGGCCACCAAGCCGAGUGUCGACGUGCGUGGCGGUGCGCCCGACCUUCUGUUUGAGCUGGUGGCGAGGAAGUGCCUUGGUUUUGAUUCCACCAAGUCGGGACAACUGCGGAGCACGUUUGAUGUGCUUUUCACAGAGCUCUUAUCCUUCCCGAUAUAUUUUCCCGGGACAUCAUUUUACCGAUGCAUGCAGGCAAGGAAAAUUGUGCAGAAGACAGUCCGGGAUACGUUGGCAGAGAGGUUAAUUACACCAGGGAAUAAACAUGGUGACCUCCUUGACAUAAUUGUCGAAGAGCUGCGGGCUGAAGAGUCAUCACUAAGUGAGAAUUUGGCAGUUGAUGUGGUCUCAGCAUUGUUGUUCGGCAGCGUCUUCACGCUAUCAGGAGUCAUCGCUGUAACAUUCAAGUCACUCCAUGACAACCCGGACGUUGUCCAUGCCCUUGAGGAGGAGAACCGAGCUAUGCUGACAGAUCGGAAGGGUGGGUGCUCCGGGCUCACAUGGGAGGAGUACAAGUCAUUGACAUUCACUAAUCAGGUGACCAAUGAGAUUAUUCGAAUCAGCAAUGCCGUACUUGGGUCAUUUAGGACAACUCUUGCGGAUGCACAAGUCAAUGGCUAUACAAUUCCAGCCGGAUGGUUGGUCAUAGUCAACCCCAUGGCAGCUCAUAUGAACGAAGAAUUUUUCGAUGAUCCACUCAAAUUUAAUCCAUGGAGGUGGAUGGAUGAGUCAAAGCGCAGCACAAUGCUGAAGAAUUUCUUGCCAUUCGGAGUAGGCAUUAGGGUAUGUCCUGCCGCAGAGUUUAUCAAGCUGUUACUAACACUUACCCUCCAUAUUUUGGUAACGGAAUAUAGAUGGGAAGAAAUGAAAGAAACAUAUGCAUUUCGAAGUGCGGAGGUUAUGUUCCCGCAGGGCUACCACAUUCGACUUCGACCAAAGGACGACCAAACGAGAUGA